UACCCUGAUCCUGGGAAUAACCCUCGGAAACGAGGGCUAAUACCGAAUGUGGCGAACGACCGGUUGGUCGCUCGCUAAAGGUGGCCUCUUCUAUGCUGCCGGGUUGGGAUCGGCCCGCGUUCCAUUAGCUAGUUGGUGAGGUAACGGCUCACCAAGGCCACGAUGGGUAGCCGGCCUGAGAGGGUGUACGGCCACACUGGCACUGAGACAAGGGCCAGUCCCCUAUGGGAGGCGCAGGCGGGAAUAGUUCACAAUGGGCGAAAGCCUGAUGACGCGACGCCGCGUGAGCGAAGAAGACCUUCGGGUUGUAAAGCUCUGUCAGGAGGGAAGAAGGCUCUACGGGUCAAUAGCCCGUGGGAUUGACGGUACCUCCAGAGGAAGCCCCGGCUAAAUACGUGCCAGCAGCCGCGGUAAUACGUAGGUGGCGAGCGUUGUCCGGAAUUACUGGGUGUCCAGGGCGUGUAGGCGGGGGUGCAAGUCAGAUGUGAAAGCCCAGGGCUCAACCCUGGGACUGCAUCUGAAACCGCAUCUCUUGAGUGCCGGAGAGGCACGUGGCAUUCCCAGUGUAGCGGUGCCAUGCGUCGAGAUUGGCAGGAACACCAGUGGCGAAGGCGGCUUUCUGGACGGUUACUGACGCUGAUGCGCGACCGCGUGCGGAGCAAACAGGAUUAGAUACCCUGGUAGUCCACGCCGUACACGAUGGAUACUAGUUUUAGGGGGUAUCGACCCCUUCUGUUCCGGAGUUGACACAAUAAGUAUCCUACCUGGGGAGUACGUUCGCUAGUAUUGAAACUCAAAGGAAUUGACGGGGGCCCGCACAAGCAGUGGAGUAUGUGGUUUAAUUCGAAGCAACGCGAGGAACCUUACCAGGGCUUGACAUCCUGCGACGACACUAGAGAUAGUGUUUUCCUACGGUACGCAGAGACAGCUGGUGCAUGGUUGUCGUCAGCUCGUGUCGUGAGAUGUUGGGUUAAGUCCCGCAACGAGCGCUACCCCUGUUGUUAGUUGCCUAUCAGGUAAAGCUGGGCACUCUAACGAGACUGUCGGUUCUAAAUCGGAGGAAGGUGGGGAUGACGUCAAAUCAUCAUGCCCCUUAUGUCCUGGGCUACUAUACGUACUACUAUGGCUGCUACAGAGGGCAGCGAAGCCGCGAGGUGGAGCAAAUCCCUAAAGCUAGCCCCAGUUCGGAUUGCAGGCUGAACUCGCCUGCAUGAAGUCGGAAU
rnacentral:rRNA from 1 species